ACCAAUCAUACUUAUACUAAAAAUCGAUUGGUAUCUUGGCAUCAUAAAGCAAACAUCAUAAUUUGAAAUUUUAUUGUGUGUGUAUGUAUGUAACCCACCCUAAUCCGUGAUGGGGUUCAAACUUCAAACUGGGUCCCCUUCAUCCGGACUAAGGAGUUCGGUUGUUAGUCAGGGAAGACUUGGACAUCGACAUUGUCCAAUUGCAAAGCAGUCCAGAGCAGGUCAAUGCUACCUUUAAUGGGCCUCAUGUGAAAGGAGUGGCUUAGUCCAAUACUGGGGUCAUUCAGUUGGGUCCCUAGACUUCGACUUCCACAUUCACAACUGUCUUCAAUUUUAAAGCGGACUAGAGCAGAUCCCACUAUGGAACCCAAACAAGCAAUUGUUAUUGUUGUUCCAAUUGGACAGAGAAUUGCAGUCUUGUCACAGCAUUUUUAGCGUGAAAAUCAAAAAUGAGUGGGAGCUAGGAGAGGUGGUGGAGCUCGUGGGGUGUCUAGUUUGGCAAUUGUGGUGGCGGAACUUGCGGGUUUGCUGAAGACUAAGUUGAAUAUAACAAAGAUGGAGUAUUGAAAUUGAAGUAGUUAUUUGUGAAUAGUAGUUAAACUAAAGUAACAAAAAUGGCCAAAUUUGACUAA